rfam:Triticum aestivum genome assembly, contig: Triticum_aestivum_CS42_TGACv1_scaffold_132301_2BL
GUAAUACUCCCUCCGUCCCAAAAAUCUUGUCUUAGAUUUGUCUAAAUAUGGAUGUAUCAAGUCGUUUUAGUAUUAGAUACAUCCGAAUCUAGACAAAUCUAAGACAAGAAUUUUGAAACGGAGGGAGUAUCUU